AGCAGCCGCGGUAAUUCCAGCUCCAAUAGCGUAUAUUAAAGUUGUUGCAGUUAAAAGCUCGUAGUUGAAUUUCGGGGUCAGUAGAUUGGUCAUGCCUCCGGUAUGUACUAGUCUUACUGGCUCCUCCUUCCUGAUGAACCGUAAUGCCAUUAAUUUGGUGUUGCGGGGAGACUGGACUGUUACUUUGAAAAAUUGAGUGUUUAAAGCAGGCUAACGCUUGAAUACAUUAGCAUGGAAUAAUGAAAUAGGACGUUCGAUCUUAUUUUGUUGGUUUCUAAGAUUGACGUAAUGAUUAAUAGGGAUAGUUGGGGGCAUUAGUAUUCAAUUGUCAGAGGUGAAAUUCUUGGAUUUAUUGAAGACUAACUACUGCGAAAGCAUUUGCCAAGGAUGUUUUCAUUAAUCAAGAACGAAAGUUAGGGAUCGAAGACGAUCAGAUACCGUCGUAGUCUUAACCAUAAACUA
rnacentral:misc_RNA from 1 species